rnacentral:lncRNA from 10 species
AGACUUCCAAAAUCCCCGACUAUUUCUACCUGGGAGCUGGGGAAGAGGUGACUCGUUCAGGAGUGCCUCCUCCGUGCCCAGCACCAGGUCCUUUCCUGACAUUACAUCAUCGAAUCUCUCCCCUCCCAGGGAGGAAGUGACAGUGACCCCCUGAUCUGCUCAAGAUCACCAGCUAAUGGUGAUGACUAAGGGCCAGGUCUCUCCCACCUUCCCCCAGCACUGUUGGGCCUCUGUGUCCUAAGGGCCACGGAUCCCAGAGUGAGAAUAGGGGAGGGGGCAGGACCAGAGGUUGGAUCAGGGACAGAGGGUCACGUCUCCAGGGAGAGCCCUCCUCAGCCUCCCUGGGGCUGGGUCCUGACCUCAUUCCUGACCCCCAGACUACAGCACCCAUGGGGGAUGGUCUCACAGCCCCCAGGGCCACUGCCCCACCCCACCCUGCUGUGACCCAAGGCUGACCUCUGUGGAUCACAUCCUCCCAGCACCUGCACACACACAAACACACACCCUCACACUCACACUCUCAGUCACACACAAACUCACACUCAAUCACACACAUUCACAACCACUCAUACACACACCCACACACAGUCACACACUCACAGUCACAUACACCCUUACUCAUACUCAGUCACACACACCCACACACACAGUCACACACACUUUACAUGGACUCGAACACAAUCACACUAACAGAAGGCACUCACACAUACUCUCACACCCACACAAUCACACAAACGCAAUCACACACAUUCACACUCAAUCACACUCACUACCAUACCCACAAUUACAUACACACAACUCACAAUCACUUUCACACUCAAAAUCACACACCCUCAUACACACAUAUGCUUACCUAUACACACAUAUACACAAUUACACACAUACACACACAAUCACACACAUACACAUUCACACUCACACACAAUCACACAUAUUCUCAUACACUCAUACACUCACAUACACACACAUACACUCAUACAAUGACACACACACAAUCACAUACAUACUCAUGCACACGCACACUUCUGUACUCUCACGCAUGCAAGCUCAC